rnacentral:rRNA from 1 species
GACGAACGCUGGCGGCGUGCUUAACACAUGCAAGUCGAACGGAAAGGCCCUGCUUUUGUGGGGUGCUCGAGUGGCGAACGGGUGAGUAACACGUGAGUAACCUGCCCUUGACUUUGGGAUAACUUCAGGAAACUGGGGCUAAUACCGGAUAGGAGCUCCUGCUGCAUGGUGGGGGUUGGAAAGUUUCGGCGGUUGGGGAUGGACUCGCGGCUUAUCAGCUUGUUGGUGGGGUAGUGGCUUACCAAGGCUUUGACGGGUAGCCGGCCUGAGAGGGUGAACGGGCACAUGGGGACUGAGAGACGGCCCAGACUCCUACGGGAGGCAGCAGUGGGGAAUAUUGCACAAUGGGCGGAAGCCUGAUGCAGCAACGCCGCGUGCGGGAUGACGGCCUUCGGGUUGUAAACCGCUUUCGCCUGUGACGAAGCGUGAGUGACGGUAAUGGGUAAAGAAGCACCGGCUAACUACGUG